AGAGUUUGAUCAUGGCUCAGGAUGAACGCUGGCGGCAGGCUUAACACAUGCAAGUCGAACGGUAACAGGAAGGAAGCUUGCUUUCUUUGCUGACGAGUGGCGGACGGGUGAGUAAUGCUUGGGAAUCUGGCUUAUGGAGGGGGAUAACUACGGGAAACUGUAGCUAAUACCGCGUAAUAUCUUCGGAUUAAAGGGUGGGACCGUAAGGCCACCUGCCAUAAGAUGAGCCCAAGUGGGAUUAGGUAGUUGGUGGGGUAAAGGCCUACCAAGCCGACGAUCUCUAGCUGGUCUGAGAGGAUGACCAGCCACACUGGAACUGAGACACGGUCCAGACUCCUACGGGAGGCAGCAGUGGGGAAUAUUGCACAAUGGGGGGAACCCUGAUGCAGCCAUGCCGCGUGAAUGAAGAAGGCCUUCGGGUUGUAAAGUUCUUUCGGUGAUGAGGAAGGCGGUUGUUUUAAUAGAACAAUCGAUUGACGUUAGUCACAGAAGAAGCACCGGCUAACUCCGUGCCAGCAGCCGCGAUAAUACGGAGGGUGCGAGCGUUAAUCGGAAUGACUGGGCGUAAAGGGCACGCAGGCGGUGACUUAAGUGAGAUGUGAAAGCCCCGGGCUUAACCUGGGAAUUGCAUUUCAUACUGGGUCGCUAGAGUAUUUUAGGGAGGGGUAGAAUUCCACGUGUAGCGGUGAAAUGCGUAGAGAUGUGGAGGAAUACCGAAGGCGAAGGCAGCCCCUUGGGAAUAUACUGACGCUCAUGUGCGAAAGCGUGGGGAGCAAACAGGAUUAGAUACCCUGGUAGUCCACGCUGUAAACGCUGUCGAUUUGGGGAUUGGGCUUUAAGCUUGGUGCCCGUAGCUAACGUGAUAAAUCGACCG
rnacentral:rRNA from 1 species